GAUGAACGCUGGCGGCGUGCCUAAUACAUGCAAGUCGAGCGAACAGACGAGGAGCUUGCUCCUCUGACGUUAGCGGCGGACGGGUGAGUAACACGUGGAUAACCUACCUAUAAGACUGGGAUAACUUCGGGAAACCGGAGCUAAUACCGGAUAAUAUAUUGAACCGCAUGGUUCAAUAGUGAAAGACGGUUUUGCUGUCACUUAUAGAUGGAUCCGCGCCGCAUUAGCUAGUUGGUAAGGUAACGGCUUACCAAGGCGACGAUGCGUAGCCGACCUGAGAGGGUGAUCGGCCACACUGGAAAUGAGACACGGUCCAGCAUCCUACGGGAGGCCCAAGUCGGGAAUCUUCAGGAAUGGGCGAAAGCCUGACGGAGCAACGCCGGGGGAGUGAAGAAGGUCUUCGGAUCGUAAAACUCUUUUAUUAGGGAAGAACAAAUGGGUAAGUAACAAUGCCCGCCUGGACGGGACCUAAUCAGAAAGCCCCGCCCAACUACGU
rnacentral:rRNA from 1 species